rnacentral:rRNA from 1 species
AGAGUUUGAUCAUGGCUCAGAUUGAACGCUGGCGGCAUGCCUAACACAUGCAAGUCGAACGGUAACAGAACUAGCUUGCUAGUUGCUGACGAGUGGCGGACGGGUGAGUAAUGUAUAGGAACUUGCCUAGUAGUGGGGGACAACGUGUGGAAACGCACGCUAAUACCGCAUACGCUCUACGGAGGAAAGUGGGGGAUCUUCGGACCUCACGCUACUAGAUAGGCCUAUAUUGGAUUAGCUAGUUGGUAAGGUAAAGGCUUACCAAGGCGACGAUCCAUAGCUGGUUUGAGAGAAUGAUCAGCCACACUGGGACUGAGACACGGCCCAGACUCCUACGGGAGGCAGCAGUGGGGAAUAUUGCACAAUGGAGGAAACUCUGAUGCAGCAAUGCCGCGUGUGUGAAGAAGGCCUUAGGGUUGUAAAGCACUUUAAGUUGGGAGGAAAAGCUGUGUAUUAAUAAUGCAUAGCCGUGACGUUACCAACAGAAUAAGGACCGGCUAACUCCGUGCCAGCAGCCGCGGUAAUACGGAGGGUCCAAGCGUUAAUCGGAAUUACUGGGCGUAAAGCGCGCGUAGGCGGCUUAUUAAGUCAGAUGUGAAAUCCCUGGGCUCAACCUAGGAACUGCAUUUGAUACUGGUAAGCUAGAGUAUGGUAGAGGUGAGUGGAAUUUCAGAUGUAGCGGUGAAAUGCGUAGAGAUCUGAAGGAACAUUAGUGGCGAAGGCGACUCACUNNNNCAUUACUGACGCUGANGUGCGAAAGCGUGGGUAGCAAACAGGAUUAGAUACCCUGGUAGUCCACGCCCUAAACGAUGUCAACUAGGUGUAUGGGGGUUUAUCCCUUGUGUAUCGAA